UACGUAGGGGGCUAGCGUUGUCCGGAAUCAUUGGGCGUAAAGCGCGUGUAGGCGGUCCGGUAAGUCGGGUGUGAAAUCUCGGAGCUUAACUCCGAAACUGCAUUCGAUACUGCCGUGCUUGAGGACUGGAGAGGAGACUGGAAUUUACGGUGUAGCGGUGAAAUGCGUAGAUAUCGUAAGGAAGACCAGUGGCGAAGGCGGGUCUCUGGACAGUUCCUGACGCUGAGGCACGAAGGUCAGGGGAGCAAACGGG
rnacentral:rRNA from 1 species